ACUGGUUUUCAUCUGAUCACGAAAGUUAAGCAACAUUGAGCCUGGUCAGUACCUAACUGGGUGACCACUUGGGAAUAUCAGCUGCUGUAA
rnacentral:rRNA from 1 species